GCUUCAAUUAUGAUGCUACAGGGGGAAGGUCAUUUGUAGCCAGUCCUCACAGGAGACAGGGAUUCAAAUGACCGAAUCCUCUGGAAGAGUGGAUCAUCCCAGAACAAGAUCUGCAUCACCACAGAAUCUACGCUGUUGUCUGGCUGAUGUCUCUUCCCAAGAAUGUUCGGCUUAGAAUAACACGAAAAUAAAUUUACUCUCUCUGAGGAUAAACCACCUAACCAUAAGAAAAGGGAAGGGAACUUAAUUACUGAGGUCUCUGUUUUCAAUCGAAACAUGGAAGGCCCAGAAAGCAGAGGGCACCAGACAGAUUUCCUGAGAGGAAAGAGCAUCGUGGGUCUCAGCACCCUCUCUCUGCAACCUCUCUCAGAAUCUCCUUCAGCUCAGCCCAAUAAACUAAACCCCUGGGAUCUCAUGUCAGCCAUUCUGACCCCAAGGCUGGAACUGCC